rnacentral:rRNA from 1 species
GACGAACGCUGGCGGCGUGCUUAACACAUGCAAGUCGAACGGUGAAGGCCGGACCUUCUUCACUCCGUAACUGUGGCGCACGUGUGUGUCACACGUGCGCACUCCCCCUCGCUCUCUGAGAUACGCGUUGGACACGGCCUCUUAUACCGGACGCGACGCGUCCGCGUAUGCUCUCUGUGUGGAGAGUUCUUCGGUUCGGGAUGGGCUCGCGGCCUAUCAGCUUGUUGGUGAGGUAACGGCUCACCAAGGCGACGACGGGUAGCCGGCCUGAGAGGGUGACCGGCCACACUGGGACUGAGACACGGCCCAGACUCCUACGGGAGGCAGCAGUGGGGAAUAUUGCACAAUGGGCGCAAGCCUGAUGCAGCAACGCCGCGUGAGGGACGACGGCCUUCGGGUUGUAAACCUCUUUUAGCAGGGAAGAAGCGAAAGUGACGGUACCUGCAGAAAAAGCACCGGCUAACUACGUG